CUCUGAAGAGAUCCUUUGACAUCGAAGAUGUUGACGACAUACCAUCCUUCUCUACAGCAUCAGCUGUCUCCACCCCAGUUUCCCCCUCUUCUGCCCACUUCUUCCUCCACCACAACAAAGGCAGUGAGGAGCUGGGAGGGGGGUGGCCAUUCCCCUUCAGUAGCCUACAAUAACAACAACAACGGCAGCCUGGGCCCCCCAGCCCACCACCGCGGGGGUGGUUCCAUUCCAAGCCCAGUGCUCAAGUCCCGAGCUGUGAUCAGCAGCCGAUCCUUCAACAGAGGGACAAUGAACAAGUCGGCCAGUCAGAACAACGGCUCUGCAGUAUCCAGAGCAGCAUCCUUCCAGAGCAGGUCCAACCCCAGUGGUUACUCCAUUUUGUGUGGGCCAGGCAGUGACAACGACAGCCUCCACAGCUCCACGUCCAGCCUGGAGUACUCUGGGGGAGGUGGGAGUGCCCUACCUUCUACUAAGCUGGGGGCAUAUUUUAGUCCUCCACUUCGGGGGGAGUACCACCGCACACAGCCCCAGGUUCCACAACAACCCAGACAAGGGGGUGCCAACUUGGGAAACAACCCCCACUUAAAGAAGGUCUCCUACCAUUCAAGUGUUUUCCACUCUGAGAUGGACCAGGGGCCAGGCAUGAUUCUGGGCGUACCAGAGCGUCGCGGGGAAAACCAUGGCUCCAUCACCAGCCUAGACCUCCAAAGUUGUGAUGGAGGGGGAGGAAUGGUCGGCAUGCAAAACGUUGAAAAUGGAGGAUGGAUGUCUCCGGGGCUAGGGUAUACCAAUGCUAACUGGAAUAGUUGUCUAAAUAAUGCCAGUGGCUUUGGGGAGGAGGGAUACAGUGGCUCCAAAAAACACUACCAACCAGUAGAGACCCGGGUCCUGAAGACUCCCCAGCCGAAGACCAAAGAGCCUUCGCGUCUCAACAAGUUUCCCUUAGAUCUGGACAGCUUGGUAAGCAGCACCACAACCACUUCUCCCACCAAGACUCAAGGAGGAUUCCUAAGCCCCAACACCCCCAAGCCUCCCCCAAGGAGUACAGGAGGCCUUCAGCACCACACCAGUUCACCAUCCGCCUCGACCAGCCCUUCAGCCUCUCUGAGCAGUCUGGAUGGUGCUUCUGACACCCCUCCCCUCUCCCUCCACCAUCCUUUUUUCCCUGUCUCCCCACGUUCUGUACCGCAAUUAGAGGGAUCAAUCCCUUCCUCAGAGAUCUGCUCCCAAAGUUGCUGA
ensembl:lncRNA